AAAUUGAAGAGUUUGAUCAUGGCUCAGAUUGAACGCUGGCGGCAGGCCUAACACAUGCAAGUCGAACGGUAACAGGAAGAAGCUUGCUUCUUUGCUGACGAGUGGCGGACGGGUGAGUAAUGUCUGGGAAACUGCCUGAUGGAGGGGGAUAACUACUGGAAACGGUAGCUAAUACCGCAUAACGUCGCAAGACCAAAGAGGGGGAGCUUCGGGCCUCUUGCCAUCGGAUGUGCCCAGAUGGGAUUAGCUAGUAGGUGGGGUAACGG
rnacentral:rRNA from 1 species